GGUGCAGCUGCGUCCCCGCCGCUCAGCAGUCCGCGGCUCCGGCGUCGCCGCCGCCGCCGCCUCUGCGGGGCCUGCGCCGGCCGCCCGCCCGGCCGCGGGGAGGGAGGCCCGCAGCGCGGGAAGAGCGGCCCGGUCGCGGGCGCCGCCACCGCCGCCGCUGCCAGGACUGAAAUGCAACUGCAGAAGCAACAUGUGACCUUUUAGAGAUGCUUGUGGGACUGCAUAAAGUGAAGAGGGAAACUGGAAAAAAACAAUGAA
rnacentral:lncRNA from 1 species